CCGAUGGAGGGGGAUAACUACUGGAAACGGUAGCUAAUACCGCAUAACGUCGCAAGACCAAAGAGGGGGACCUUCGGGCCUCUUGCCAUCGGAUGUGCCCAGAUGGGAUUAGCUUGUUGGUGGGGUAACGGCUCACCAAGGCGACGAUCCCUAGCUGGUCUGAGAGGAUGACCAGCCACACUGGAACUGAGACACGGUCCAG
rnacentral:rRNA from 1 species